AAAGAGAAGCACCAUGAGGUGCAAUUCUUGGCUUGUUGAAGUUGCAGAGAAUGUCAAUUCCUUCAACUCCUGGCAAACCAUUAUUCUUCAGCCCCUUGAAGCCCUUGAAGCCCUUGCAACCUUUGAUCUCAAACAAACUUGCUCCUAUUCCAAAUUGUGUCAUUGUUGUUUUUGUUAUUCAGCUUACUUUUGUUCCCUUUUGCCAUCAAC
rnacentral:lncRNA from 1 species